rnacentral:rRNA from 1 species
CCUUAAACUGGAGAUAGCCUUCCGAAAGGGAGAUUAAUACCGCAUAAUACUAUUUGAGGGCAUCUGAGGAUAGUUAAAGAUUUAUUGGUUUAAGAUGGGCAUGCGUGCCAUUAGCUAGUUGGUAGGGUAACGGCCUACCAAGGCGACGAUGGCUAGGGGUUCUGAGAGGAUGAUCCCCCACACUGGCACUGAGAUACGGGCCAGACUCCUACGGGAGGCAGCAGUAGGGAAUAUUGGGCAAUGGGCGAAAGCCUGACCCAGCCAUGCCGCGUGCAGGAAGAAGGCCUUCUGGGUUGUAAACUGCUUUUAUCUGGGAAGAAAAAGCCCCUGCGGGGGAAACUGACGGUACCAGAGGAAUAAGCACCGGCUAACUCCGUGCCAGCAGCCGCGGUAAUACGGANGGUGCAAGCGUUGUCCGGAUUUAUUGGGUUUAAAGGGUGCGUGGGCGGCCCGGUAAGUCAGUGGUGGAAACCUCCAGCUCAACUGGAGAACUGCCAUUGAUACUGCCGGGCUUGAAUACAGACGAAGUUGGCGGAAUUGAUAGUGUAGCGGUGAAUGCAUAAAUACUAUCAAGAACUCCGAUNGCGUANGCAGCUAACUAGGCUGUACUGACGCUGAAGCACGAAGCGUGGGAGCGACAGGAUAAAUACCUGGUAGCCACCUGUAACGAGAUGACUCAUGUNGCAU